GGGGGCGCACUGGUUUCGACGGGGAUAGUUGAAGCCGAAGCCGCAGGUCGAGGUUGGUCGAUGGCCUCGUAAAAAUCGACCACAAAGAUAAUUGCCAACGACAAUUACGACUACGCAAUGGCUGCUUAAUUGCAGAAUUGCUACCUGACAACAUAGCUUGUCACGAUUCACCCGCCGACGCCUUAUAAGCGGACUGGAUCGACAACUCAUAGGGCUAGCUUCAAGCGUUCGUUCCUUGCCCUUGUCGCGAAACACUUAAGGGACUAGUCAGUCGGCCGUCUGGCCCGGAGCAACCCGCCUGGCGAAACUUUAUUCCGGACCUAAACCUGUAGACGCUUUCGCGGAUCGUUCUCGGACGGGGGUUCGAUUCCCCCCGCCUCCACCA
rnacentral:tmRNA from 1 species